rnacentral:rRNA from 1 species
UACGAAGGGGGCUAGCGUUGUUCGGAAUCACUGGGCGUAAAGCGCACGUAGGCGGAUUCGUACGUCAGGGGUGAAAUCCCGGGGCUCAACCUCGGAACUGCCUUUGAUACUGCGGGUCUUGAGUCCGAUAGAGGUGGGUGGAAUUCCUAGUGUAGAGGUGAAAUUCGUAGAUAUUAGGAAGAACACCGGUGGCGAAGGCGGCCCACUGGAUCGGUACUGACGCUGAGGUGCGAAAGCGUGGGGAGCGAACAGG